UGUAGUGUAUCAGAGUGGAGUACAGAUCAUAUCUAAAGCCACAGAGCAACUAUAGGCUAACCACUACAGUAGGAAAUGGAAAGAACCCAGUCAUUCAUUCUCACAGAGUGACUGAGGUUCUUGUAGAUCUGCUGAGAAUGAGAAAUGGUCAGAGGAAAAGCCUCCAGCUCGGCUCACGCCAAAUAGCCGAGAAGCAUGACUCAUGGCUUCCCUGCAAUGCAAAACUAUGGCGAAUUCCUCCCUCAGGCAAAUGGGCAUUCCAAGGGGGACCUGCUGAUUUGCUUCAGAGCAUUGUCCUGAUGAAGAACCCAAGUAUGAGUGAGCUUAACUUGCACCACCAUAUUUAACUUUUUAGUAUGAGGGACACACCUUGCAAAACGUUUCACUUUUGUCUCGUCAGCACACAAAUUUUCUUCUCAAAGUCCUAUGGAUCAUCAAGAUGUUUUUUAGCAAAUGUGAGAUGGACCUUUGUGUUUCUCUUGUUCAGCAGUGUUUCCAAUAAAUAAAAAUUUUGCCCAGUCUCUUAUUAAAUUAUAACAUUGACCUAAA